CACGUGAGUACGUAGUUUGUAUCCGUGGCUCAGGACGAACGCUGGCGGCGCGCCUAACACAUGCAAGUCGAACGGAGACAUCUUUAGCUUGCUUUAGAUGUCUUAGUGGCGGACGGGUGAGUAACACGUGAGCAACCUGCCUUUCAGAGGGGGAUAACGUUUGGAAACGAACGCUAAUACCGCAUAACGUAUACGGACGGCAUCGUCUGUAUACCAAAGGAGCAAUCCGCUGAAAGAUGGCUUCGCGUCUGAUUAGCUAGAUGGCGGGGUAACGGCCACCAUGGCGACGAUCAGUAGCCGGUCUGAGAGGAUGAACGGCCACAUUGGGACUGAGAUACGGUCCAGACUCCUACGGGAGGCAGCAGUGGGGAAUAUUGGGCAAUGGGCGAAAGCCUGACCCAGCGACGCCGCGUGAGGGAAGAAGGUCUUCGGAUUGUAAACCUUUAUGAUCAGGGAAGAAACAAAUGACGUUACCUGAAGAUGAAGCCACGGCUAACUACGUG
rnacentral:rRNA from 1 species